rnacentral:rRNA from 1 species
AGAGUUUGAUCCUGGCUCAGAAUGAACGUUGGCGGCGUGGAUUAGGCAUGCAAGUCGCGCGAGAAUUUCCCUUCGGGGAGAGGACAGCGGCGAAAGGGAGAGUAACGCGUGGUUACAUACCCUCGGGACCGGGAUAGUAGCGGGAAACUGCUAGUAAUACCGGAUAAUAUCUUUGGAUCAAAGGUGUGAUUCCGCCCGAGGAUUGGACCGCGUUCUAUUAGCUUGUUGGCGGGGUAAUGGCCCACCAAGGCGACGAUGGAUACCGGGUGUGAGAGCAUGGCCCGGCUCACUGGGACUGAGACACUGCCCAGACACCUACGGGUGGCUGCAGUCGAGAAUCUUCGGCAAUGGGGGCAACCCUGACCGAGCGACGCCGCGUGCGGGAUGAAGGCCUUCGGGUUGUAAACCGCUGUCAGUUUGGAGGAAGUAUCAGGGGGUUAUCCCCUUGGUUUGACCGAUCUUCAGAGGAAGGACGGGCUAAGUUCGUGCCAGCCGCCGCGGUAAUAC